rnacentral:rRNA from 1 species
GACCGGCCACACUGGGUACUGAGUACACGGCCCAGUACUCCUACGGGUAAGCAGCAGUGGGGUAUAUUGCACAAUGGGCGAAAGCCUGAUGCAGCGACGCCGCGUGAGGGAUGACGGCCUUCGGGUUGUAAACCUCUUUCAGCAGGGAAGAAGCGAAAGUGACGGUACCUGCAGAAGAAGCGCCGGCUAACUACGUGCCAGCAGCCGCGGUAAUACGUAGGGCGCGAGCGUUGUCCGGAAUUAUUGGGCGUAAAGAGCUCGUAGGCGGCUUGUCACGUCGGUUGUGAAAGCCCGGGGCUUAACCCCGGGUCUGCAGUCGAUACGGGCAGGCUAGAGUUCGGUAGGGGAGAUCGGAAUUCCUGGUGUAGCGGUGAAAUGCGCAGAUAUCAGGAGGAACACCGGUGGCGAAGGCGGAUCUCUGGGCCGAUACUGACGCUGAGGAGCGAAAGCGUGGGGAGCGAACAGGAUUAGAUACCCUGGUAGUCCA